rnacentral:rRNA from 1 species
UGAGGAAUAUUGGUCAAUGGGCGAAAGCCUGAACCAGCCAUGUCGCGUGCAGGAAGACGGCCCUAUGGGUUGUAAACUGCUUUUGUAUGGGAAGAAACGACGGUACGAGUACUGUUUUGCCGGUACCAUACGAAUAAGGAUCGGCUAACUCCGUGCCAGCAGCCGCGGUAAUACGGAGGAUCCAAGCGUUAUCCGGAUUUAUUGGGUUUAAAGGGUGCGUAGGCGGGAGAUUAAGUCAGUGGUGAAAGUUUGCGGCUCAACCGUAAAAUUGCCAUUGAUACUGGUUUUCUUGAGUACAGUUGAGGUAGGCGGAAUGUGGUGUGUAGCGGUGAAAUGCUUAGAUAUACCACAGAACACCGAUUGCGAAGGCAGCUUACUAAGUUGUGACUGACGCUGAAGCACGAAAGCAUGGGGAUCAAACAGGAUUAGAUACCCUGGUAGUCCAUGCCGUAAACGAUGAUCACUAGCUGUUUGCGAUAUAUUGUAAGUGGCAAAGGGAAACCAUUAAGUGAUCCACCUGGGGAGUACGCCCGCAAGGGUG